rnacentral:misc_RNA from 1 species
CCAAUAGCGUAUAUUAAAGUUGUUGCAGUUAAAAAGCUCGUAGUUGAAUUUCGGGGUUAGUAAGUUGGUCGUGCCACUGGUAUGUACUGGCUUUACUGAUUCCUCCUUCUUGUAGAACCGUAAUGCCAUUAAGUUGGUGUUGCGGGGAAACAGGACUGUUACUUUGAAAAAAUUAGAGUGUUUAAAGCAAGCUAACGCUUGAAUACAUUAGCAUGGAAUAAUGAAAUAGGACGUUCGAUCCUAUUUUGUUGGUUUCUAGGAUUGACGUAAUGAUUAAUAGGGAUAGUUGGGGGCAUUAGUAUUCAAUUGUCAGAGGUGAAAUUCUUGGAUUUAUUGAAGACUAACUACUGCGAAAGCAUUUGCCAAGGAUGUUUUCAUUAAUCAGUGAACGAAAGUUAGGGGAUCGAAGACGAUCAGAUACCGUCGUAGUCUUAACCAUAAACUAUGCCGACUAGGGAUCGGAUGAUGUUAAUUUUUUAAUGACUCAUUCGGCGCCUUACG